AGAGUUUGAUCCUGGCUCAGGAUGAACGCUAGCGGCAGGCCUAACACAUGCAAGUCGAACGGUAACAGAUCUUUCGGGAUGCUGACGAGUGGCGCACGGGUGCGUAACGCGUAUACAAUCUGCCUCUAACUGGAAGAUAGCCCAUGGAAACGUGGAUUAAUACUCCAUAAUAUCACAUUACCUCCUGGUAGAGUGAUUAAAGCUUUGGCGGUUAGAGAUGAGUAUGCGUCCUAUUAGCUUGUUGGUGAGGUAACGGCUCACCAAGGCUUCGAUAGGUAGGGGGUCUGAGAGGAUUAUCCCCCACACUGGUACUGAGACACGGACCAGACUCCUACGGGAGGCAGCAGUGAGGAAUAUUGGGCAAUGGACGAAAGUCUGACCCAGCCAUGCCGCGUGCAGGAUGACGGCCCUAUGGGUUGUAAACUGCUUUUAUAUGGGAAGAAACCCCUUUACGUGUAGAGGGCUGACGGUACCAUUUGAAUAAGCAUCGGCUAACUCCGUGCCAGCAGCCGCGGUAAUACGGAGGAUGCAAGCGUUAUCCGGAUUCAUUGGGUUUAAAGGGUCCGUAGGCGGACUUUUAAGUCAGGGGUGAAAGCCUACAGCUCAACUGUAGAAUUGCCUUUGAUACUGGAAGUCUUGAGUAUAGUUGAAGUGGGCGGAAUACGUCAUGUAGCGGUGAAAUGCAUAGAUAUGACGUAGAACACCGAUUGCGAAGGCAGCUCACUAAGCUAUAACUGACGCUGAGGGACGAAAGCGUGGGGAGCGAACAGGAUUAGAUACCCUGGUAGUCCACGCUGUAAACGAUGAUAACUCGCUGUUGGCGAUACACAGUCAGCGGCUAAGCGAAAGCGUUAAGUUAUCCACCUGGGGAGUACGUUCGCAAGAAUGAAACUCAAAGGAAUUGACGGGGGCCCGCACAAGCGGUGGAGCAUGUGGUUUAAUUCGAUGAUACGCGAGGAACCUUACCAGGGCUUAAAUGCAGAGUGACCUUUCCGGAAACGGAGAUUCUCUUCGGAGCAAUUUGCAAGGUGCUGCAUGGUUGUCGUCAGCUCGUGCCGUGAGGUGUUAGGUUAAGUCCUGCAACGAGCGCAACCCCUAUCUUUAGUUGCCAGCGAUUCGGUCGGGGACUCUAAAGAGACUGCCAGCGCAAGCUGUGAGGAAGGUGGGGAUGACGUCAAAUCAUCACGGCCCUUACGUCCUGGGCUACACACGUGCUACAAUGGUAGAGACAGAGGGCAGCCACCACGUGAGUGGGAGCAAAUCCUUAAACUCUAUCUCAGUUCGGAUCGAAGUCUGCAACUCGACUUCGUGAAGCUGGAAUCGCUAGUAAUCGCGCAUCAGCCAUGGCGCGGUGAAUACGUUCCCGGGCCUUGUACACACCGCCCGUCAAGCCAUGGGAGUUGGGAGUGCCUGAAGUCGGUAACCGCAAGGAGCUGCCUAGGGUAAGACCAAUGACUGGGGCUAAGUCGAAACAAGGUA
rnacentral:rRNA from 1 species